AUGCUUGUCAAGAUAUGGGACACUGUUCCUAACCCACAUACCCACAUAAAAACUCCACUAAGCAAAUUUUUCAUCGUUGAAGUUGUUGCACUUUCUAGCUAUGAAGAAAAGGAAGGGCAAUUUAGGGAACAUUUAUGGUUGCAGCAAUUUAUUGUGAAGAAAUUGCAAAUAAGAAAUAUGCCUCUUUUGUUGCAAGUGAGGAAUGUUGUCAAUUGGAGAAGAAUGUGCAAUCUAAUCAUAUUACCUGGUUAUAGU